CUGGCACGUACUCUUCCAAGAUGAGCCGGGAAGUUUAACACUGAUGGAAUGACACCAGGUCUAAGCCGACAAACUUCCAAUUCCUCCUCAACCCAUAGUCUCUGGGAAACCUACAUGGAGUAAGAAAAGUAGACAGAGAAGUUUAUGUCGCCUGCAAACAUAGUGAUGAGCAGGAUGAUGACGAAGCCGGUGAGCAGCCCGGCAUUCUGGAUCAGGAAGAAGACGAUCUUGGAGGAAGUUCGAGUCUGUUCCCAAGCCAUGUUGAUGAUCAGAGGAAAACAGCAGUGAAUAGUUCCCCUAAUGUGGGUUUUAUCAGCUGACCUGAGCAUGGAAACAGUCACCCAGAAUGAAUCACCGUGUUUAUGUUCCUUUUAGUCUCUUUUUCUGUCCUGCUGUAAAUCCAGUCUGUACUCAAACAGUGUGAAGUUCAUGAUUUUGGCCAAAACCUCUGGAACGACAGACUCUCUUAUCUUCUGGUAGCCCAUGUGCUCGUACAGCUUCUGAGCGUCUGUUUGCACCACAGAGGUGUGCAGGAUGACGGCAGCGUAACCUCGGUAACGGGUGAAAUCGGCUACAGUCCGACACAGAGCCUUGGCGAUGCCCAUCCCGCGGUAACUGCGACGCACCGACAUGCGCUUCAGCUCCAAGCAACCCGGCGCCGUCUCAGUGGGGACACAACACACCGUGCCGACCACACGGCCGUCGCUUUCCGCCACCCAGAAACAUGAGUCCCUCUGCUUCAGGUAGGUCUCGCUGAUGUUGUGGAGGUCGCUCCUGAGGGACGUCUCGAUGUAUUUGUUGAACGAGUAGACAACCAGCUGCCGGGCUCCGGCCAGGAGGAGUGUGAUGGCCAGGAUGGGGAGCAGGAAGGACUUGGAGCUGGCCAUGAGGGCGCAGAACAUGCACAUGAGCACCAUCUGGGUGGGCGGCUGUUUGAGCAUGUGGGUGAAAGACGCAGGGACGUGCUCGCUCACCCCCAACGUGAAGAUCUCCUUCACCGUUUCAGCGUCUUUGUCCCGAAACUUCCGGAUCUGAAUGUUGGUCAUGGCUCGGCUCUGCUGUUCAGUAAAACAGGAGGUCACAACGUAAGAGGUGGAAAAUCAAGCACCCAAAAAGAAACAAAUAAUCAUUUUGCUCUCAAUAUCAAAUCAAAUUUACGGACACAACACAUUUAAAAGACAACCUGAGUUGAGGAAAAUGCUGUACAUGUUAUCAACAAGCAGCAAAAAUGAUGAGCAAACAUUGAGACAAAAUAUAAUCAAUCAUUAAAACAACAAAAAAAAUGUAUAAAAAAUUAAAACAGGCAAAAGAGGAUAGCAACUUAUAAGACCAAUUGUUGAAUUUUCUCAGUUUUGGACUUAUGGGUUGCGUCUAUCAUGGCCCACAUGGAAACUAACUUCCAGAGAAACUGAAAAAUAUAAUUAUAAGACUCCACAAAUAUAAGAACAUGAUACAGAACAUCCCAGUCCUACUAAAAAUCUGUGUAAACACAGUUUCUGCAGUAAUCAGAAGAAAUAAAACAAGUCAUAGCAUCCUCCUAAAAUGACACCACAGACAACAUGGUACUUUCACAAUCUACUUCUGAAAAACAAAACCAGUAUAUUUAGUGUAACUGACCAGGACGAGCAGAGUGAAUGCACAGUCCUGACAGUGAAGCACAGAGGUGGAGAUGUGAUGAUAUGAGGUUAAAAGAGUGCAAAAGGUGUUGGGAAAAUGACAUCUAUAGAUGAAUGUCCGUGGAUAUACCAAAACACAAAACAACCACAAAGAAGCACAAAAUAACCACAAACUCUGCGUGUCCUUUCAGAAAACGUGAACAACAUCAACAGUCUUACAGCAGAUGUUCAUUCAUACCAUCUGCUCUAAGACUACAACAUCGGCAUCACUGGCUGAUGUUAACAUAAACCACAUUUAUAUUAUAUCAGCAUCAUCUCAAACCAUAAUGAAUGCCGCUGUAAAAAUGUUGCUGCUGUAAUCGUGUAAAUUUUCCCUGGCGUGGGGAGUAAUAAAGGAUUAUCUUAUCUCAUCUCAGUUUAUCAAACGAGCCAUUAUUAGCUAACAGCGGCUAGCAUCAGCGUUUGCCUCACAAAGCUGCCGAAGAUUUGACUCCAGUUCGCUCUGAAUUCUUCCACCAGAAUAAAACUAGCAAAGAAACGCGACUUACUUGUUGUACGUUGACCAAACUCUUGGGAAAUGAGUCUCUAAAAAGUUUCCUGAGGUGAAAAUCGGCUCAUUUCUUCUCGCUCGUAACUUCCGCACAGCUAAUCUAUGAUGCGUUCAUGGCUCCUCGGAAGACUGAGCAAAACUACAGCGCACGUAUUUCAUUAUUGGAAUAAAAAUCGAUGUUGUUUAAUUUUUUAGUGUAUCCACUUGCCUCAAAAUUUUUGAAACGUCUAUUUUUUUACCAAUUUAAAAUGUCACAGCUGUCUAAUAUUGCUGAUAUAACUGUUUGUUAAUGUUUUCAAAUAAUUGCAGGUUGUACACACCGCCGUAAAUGCAGCAUAAUCUCUUCCUGCUGAUUGGCUGCCACUUUCUGACGAGUAAAGUAGAUAACAAACAAAUGGAAUAUAUCAGUACUUUUAUCUGUCACAUUGUCGUGAUUCAAAGUAAAGUUUUAAAUAUUUACUGAGACCAAAUCACGUAUUUGCAGUAGUAGAUAACGAUAACUGAGAUAAAGUAAUGUGCAAAAGUCCAACUUUGUUGAUUAUAAUGACUAUAUACGGGCAUUUCUUAGUUUUUGUAUCACAAUAGUACAUUAAUAUACUUCAAAUGUGUACACAGUAUUUAAAACACACACACAAAAAAUACCAUAAAAUUAAUGUUUUUACCCACUAAAGUGGAAAGUAUUUCGUGUGACCUUCUGCAUGCAGCAGGAAGGUCACUCCCAAAGGCAAAUAAGCAAACAAACUGAGUAGGAUUCGAGCUGUAGUCAAGAAAUUUGGAGAUUCUGGAGAAGAGAAAGACAAAAAUGGAGAAGUCCAGUGAAUACCUCUCUGCAUCUGGGAGUUGAUCCUUCCUCAUUUUUAAGGACUAAAAGGUUGAAAUAAGCAAAACUUCAUAAAGAGUUGAGUGAAGAUCAAUGCAGAUGUGUGCUCAAAGUUAGAAAUUAUUGGGUCCAAAAUUGACAACAAAAUGGCUUUUAUGGGCUAAAAUCAGUAUUUAUGUGACCUCCUUCGGUGCUUCUUGAAAUCUUGAGUCGACAGUCUAAACGUUUCCUUCAGCACUUUCUUUCUUAGACUUGGGGUGAUUUUAUUUUCUUCUGUGUCCAGAUGAUCCACACAGCUUCUGUGACGUUCAGGUCUGGACUCUGUGGAAGCUGUCAGCGUUUUAUUCUCAAAAUAUGAUUUAACUGUAUCGCACUUGGGAGUUCUUCUCUUGCUGAAAAAUCAAGCUGGUUCCAAUCUAGAAGUAAUGGCAAGAUCAAUCAAAACUCGUCUGUAGCAUUAUUUCAGAUGCAAAAGUCAAAAACUGGCUAAAAUGUCAAGUCCUAUCUAAAGAAAAUGUUUUCACAAUUGCUUGAAAAGACAAAAAAAUAACAAUUAUCUGAUUCUACAAACUGUGUAGCAGCACACCCGAUUUCUCAGUACUGAAUAAAAGGUCCAACUUGACCAGAUAAAACAUUAAAAUUCAGUUUAUAUGUUAAUUCAAUGAUGAUAAUGCAGUAUUAAAGCAGCUAGUAUGUGUACGCCUGAUACUUAUUAUAUAUGUACGAUUACUUCAGUAAAAUAGUGAAUGCAGGACUUUCACUCAAGCAUUUUCCCUCUGUGGUUUUACAACUUUUACUAUUUCUUCCACUACAGCCAACUUUAUAAUAAACCUUUUGUUACUGCCAUCUAGAAACGAGACAGUAUUUGUUUAUUUAUUUAGUCAGAUAUUUAAAUCUUUUCUCAGUCUAAUAGUUCCACACAAUGUAUGGAAGUACUCAUUUUUUUUAAAUGGCUGUUAUAAUGUAAUAUAUGUAAGAUUUCACACUAAUACGUUAGAAAAUAACAUCUAUUUUAGUUAUUUAUAGAUCACAAUAAAAUUAAAAACUAAAUUAUGUGAAAUAGAAAAAUAUCUUAGAGGCAUUUUUUGCUUAGAAACCUUAUUAUAAGUGAAGUUUUGGUCACAAUACUAGAUUUCAGUAAGAAACUAGUGUGCAAAUGAGGAAUAAAUCAUUUGGGAAAAACUGAAUGCAGAGUUCAUAGAAAAGAGUGAGAAAGUCACAGUACAUAUUGAAUGAUAAAGAUGUAAACUGAAUCCUUAUGUGGGUUUUUAGUCAUUUCUUGUUUGCAUUUAAGGCAUCAAAUGUACUGCAAAUGAUCCCCGAUGGUUAAAAAAAAUGCAAAAAUUCAAAAUAUAUCUGACAAACUGUGAUGAAGAUCAAACAUAAUCAGAUUCAAGUCACGUGAUUUCUUCAUAUUCAAGUAUCCUAAACUUGUGCUGGUUUUUUUAUAUUUUGCGUAAGUCCCACUGUUUUUUUUAUCUUAGACAAGAAGAAAACUCCAGAAAUAAAACCAAAAGGUCAAACACAGCUGCAAUAACAGGUCAAAAAAACACGGCAUCAGUGAGCUCAAAUAAACGUAAAAUAUUCCACAACGGAUGAAGACUGAAAAAAUAAUUUAUUGUCUCCUUAAAAUAAAUCUGACAAGAUUUCAUACAUGUUGAUUGUGAAGAUUUUUUUCCCUUUUUUUUUUUAUGGGGUAAACAUUCCAAAGGUAUAAAAGCGUUUCUCCUCCCCUCAACAUUUGGUUUUGUUCGUACAAAACAUUCACUUUACAUUCACUUUCCUGCUCGGCUGUGUGAGCAGAAACAGAAGCAGCUCAGGACUACGUUUUACUGCAGUUUGUGUCUCUUCUAUCCCAGGUGGAUGUCGCCCGCGAACAUGGUGAUGAGCAGGAUGAUGACGAAGCCGGUGAGCAGCCCGGCGUUCUGGAUCAGGAAGAAGACGAUCUUGGAGGAAGUUCGAGUCUGUUCCCGGGCGAUGUUGUCCAUCUCUGGAAACUGGAAGGAGGAACCACAGUCAGAUAUUUGAGUCGCGCACUUUAAUAACAGACAAUCGGUCUUAUUGUUUAUCAGCCGGAACAAUGGGAAGUAAGAACACAAAAGAGGUUCUGUGCAGGAAAACCAUAUGCAUCAUGUUGCCAUGGAAACCUAUAUGUGUCCAGUUCGUGCUGCAGAAAAUGCAUAAAUGCGUUGUUUGAUUCUGAUUAGCAGUCAUGACAGUUUUACACGGCUGGUGCUGCAGCUGAUGGAACACAGAUUAGAAAGAGGAUUAGUUUGUUAGUUAAUGUCACUUUGAUUUGGUCAUUUGAGUGGGUUUAGCUUGUGUGGUAAUGGUUAACCCUCCUGUUGUCCUCAUUUAUGGGCACCAAAAAAUAUUGUUUCCUUGUCUGAAAAAAAUCCAAAAAAAUCAGCAAAAAAUUUCUCCAAAUUUCUGAAAAUUUGCAAAACCUUCAGGAAGAAAAUUCCAAUAAUUCCUUAAAAGUUCCCCUUAAAAGCUUUAUUUAAAAAAAAAAAAAUCCUCAAAUUUGGCAAGAAAAUUCUUGUAAAUAUUUUCAAAAAAUGAGUAAAAAUCCUCAAAAAAAUCCUAAAAAUAUCUAAAGUGAUUACAUUCAUAUCAGUAGAACUUUUAAGAUUUUCUUUAAGAACAUUCACAAAAAAAUCAACGAAAAUCCAGCGAAAUUCACUGAAUUUUGGUAAAUUUUUUUUGUGAAUGUUCUUAAGAAACAUUUUUAAUAUUUCUUUUUUUCACCCAAAAAUGUUCAAAGAUUUCCCAAAAAUGUUGAAAAUGUGGACAUCAGAAGUUUCACUAUGGAAAAAUAUAUUUUUUCCCACAUUUUCAAACUUUUAAACGGGUCAGUUUUGACCCCCAGGACAACAUGAGGGUUAAUACAUUAUUCUCCUGCAAUUCUACUUUCUCAGUGGCUGAUGUGCAAAAAACUGGGAGGAAUUUUGCACAUUUAGCCCUUAGAUGCAUAAGUGGGUCAAAAAUGACCCGAUGAGGUGGGUUUUCUUGUAAUAUCGUUACAACGAAAAGUUUUUAUCAUUUAAUUUUCCAGCUAUUCUUCAAAAAACAUGUUUUGGAUGCCACAACAUUUACAUUUUUAAAUUCCCUUCUGUACUUUUAAAGAAAUUGUGAUAUUUUUAUCACUACCCUAAGCUCUUUAUCACUGAAAACAUCGUGCAAGAGGUGACAAAGUGCACAAACAUGGAGGAAAAUAGUGGAAAAAUGUCAAGAAAAUGGCAUGUGACGUGCUGUUCCAUCGGAAAAUGUGACCAAAUCGGAGCUUUAAACAGUACUGAUUCGUCAAAAAUCCCUUUAUUCCACAGGUUUUGUUUAAAAAUUUGCUAAAAUACAUCUUUACCUUGAACCAGAUGCCGUAAAAGUAAAAAAAAUUUGCAGUCCAGGUUGCAACCGAGAAACCCUUACUGAACAUGAAAUUGUCUGGGCAACCCCAAACAUUUGACCGGUAGUGUAUAUAGUGUUUGUACAUUUCUUUUUUUUUCUCUUUUUUUAUUCUUCAUUUUAAUUUUGUUGUGCUACACAAAACACAUUUAAGUUCUUUCUAAUUUUAGCAACGGUUGUGUGGUUUCCACAGAGGUGCAGGACUUUAUAUUGUGGUGGAAAAUGAGCUCACAGUGAGUAAAAAUGCUCAGGAACUGCUUGUGGUUCAGAGGGCUAAUAUAAAAAAGAAAAAGGCUUUCGUUUUGGCUGGUAAGUCAGAGAGUAUUAAAUUAAAAAAGAAAAAAGUU